GCUCAGUCCUGAAGUCCCCAGCUUAGUCUGAGGCUUCACCUUCCAGCCUCCCAACAUCUCCUGCAAAAAUGGAUGGCAUUCAUACUUUCGCUCCGGGGACAACAUCAGGUGGGGAGUUUGACUGGGGUGGUACACCUGUCAAAGUGUAAUGCAGAUGUCCUAAGGCAAGCUCAGGGAGGCCAGAAACCUCUCUUGGAGCAGAAGAGCAAAAGCCCACUUGAUCUUGAUCUAUUGAUCUAUUGAUCUACCUUGCUGUUUUUGUUUUCAAAUUGAAAAACUGAUUUUUCA
rnacentral:ncRNA from 1 species